CUGUUUUGGAAUCUUUACAAAUACAAAGGUAGAAUACAUGUGAAAUCUGAUGGAGUUCAUGGAUAUAAGUUUGCUUGUUUAGGCCUAAAAGCAAGGUCCAUAAUAUUUAGGGAGAAUGUAUGAUGUGACAGCUGUCCUAGGUUGUUAUGAUAUUCCCCCAAUAAAGUAGUGCGUGGGGGAAAACUGUAGGUAUGAAUGAUUGUUAUGGCAGUACCUUGUAGGGUCAGGCAGUGAUAGACUAACUAUUGUCUCUGUUGAGGAGCUUUGCUCUGGAAACUAACCGUGUUACUUCGAUAUUAUCAUCGUUCAAUAAUAUCGAAACAUUCCAUAUUUACCUUAUAUUUUCUGCUAGAAUUACUCUGCUCUAUCAUAGUUAGAAUAUGCAAGUGCUAUUCUUUUUAAAUACAUCUAUAGAGUUGAUUUGUUACUAUAGUUGAUGUUUGUGAUCUGGUGUAUCUCCUUAGAUCAACCAAAACAUGUAGCUGCUAUGCUAGGACAUUUUGCAAUAGGAUUGAAUGGGUUACUUUAGCCAAAAGAACAUGCAUGGUGACUGGAACACUGGUUUGUACAUGGGGGAAUUAGCAACACUGGUAACAAGAAUAUGCCAAUUAUGUGGUGUAAUAUCUAGAAAACAUUUUAUGCAUUUUAUUUCAUCUCAAUUAUGCUUGCUUAAUUUAAUGUAUUAACAAGCAAUCGAAAUUUGGAAGGCGUGUUGUAUUUGGAUCAAGUGGACCGCAUUGUAGAGAUAUAAGUUGGUAACUUGCUACAUACAUGCAUGAAGUGAAAUUAAAAAGAUUCUACUUUUGUGUGAGUGGCAGUGCAGAUGUUUGUGAGGUAUACUUUUUUGAACCUUGCUUCUAAGGAAGGUGGAAGAGAGUUAAUAAAAGGCUAAGAAUGGUCAAUAAAGAAUAAUAACCUACAUUCAUCACCACUUACGAACACAAAACAAGUGAUCAAAUAUGAAUUCUGUUUUUGCUGCAUAAUUGGUCUUCUGCAUAUUUAGUGCGUAUCAGACUUAUAUGAGCUGAAAUUGAUGUCUUAAAAGAUCUUUUCAUAGUGAAAAGAGAUUACUGUUGUUAGUCACUACCAAAUUGUUUGAAUUAAUUCAACAAGAUUCAUCAAAAAAUGACAUGAAAUAAGCCUACGUGCCAAAUUUAAGAGAAUUCCAAGUUUGUUUGUGCAACUAUCAUAAUUUGAGAGACCUGGAUCCUUGGAUGGAUGAUAGUAGUGCUAGUAGUGAUAGUUAUUCUACUCCACAUUAUAGUAUUGUUUUGAUGCUCCACGGUUAGUUAGCUUCUCUCUUUUAUUGUAGAAUGCCUAGGAGUCAUUAAUAUUGUUUAUUUUUGGUGGAUACCCUGCAUUGUGCGAUUUUUGCAGUGAUUUGCAUGCCUGUGUGUCAAGUUUAUAUUUGAUAUUCAAACCGCAGGUGAUCAAAUGACUAUUUUCCUGCAUCUGUAACCGGAAGCAAAUCUAGUCCAGAUCCUUCAAGUAAAUCAGAUUCUAUCAAGUUUCUUUGGUCCAAUACCAUUUAGGAAUAGCAAAAGUUUGCAAAAACAUCCCAAAGGAAACAUUGCAAGGCCUAAAAGUUGAAAAUGCACAUCUGUUGGAGCUGCAUAGAAAGGUAUGAGCCCUUAUUGAAUAGACUCAUCACAGAUGUUGAGGACUUCACAUACCCAAAUGCUGGAAAAUAUUAUCUACCAUUUCAAAGUUCAAAACCGUAGUUAAAUUUUGAAGGAGUUGGAGCUAGUGCGUGCACCUUUGCUAGUACCGAAAAAUCGAGGCGGAUUUGGAAUCUUUAAUGUAUGAAUUGUAUUAUUUUGAAUUAUCAAUAUAGUAAAGGACCGCUGUUUUUUUACCUUAUCAUGUAAAAAGGAUGCAAAUCCAUUUACAUUGCUCUUAUUUGAUGAGUAUUUUAAUUUUAUUUUUUUUUUUUUUAUAUUUGUACACUUGAGUUUCCAUUAAUGUUUGUUUCCAUUCAUUGAACUA